rnacentral:rRNA from 1 species
AACGAACGCUGGCGGUAUGCCUAACACAUGCAAGUCGAACGGGACCUCCGGGACUAGUUGCUCACACGUGCGUAACGCGUCGGAACGUGCAUGUAUGCACGGAAUAACACCCCUUCAGGGGUGCUAAUGCCGGAUAAUGUACUCGAAUACAACAUAUAUCGUCUUAGGAUGGGCAGGCGUUGUUUUAACUUGUUGGUAGGGUAAAAGCCUACCAAGGCGACGAUCCAUAGCGGGUCUGAGAGAAUGAGCAGCCACACUGGGACUGGGACGCGGCGCAGACUCCUACGGGAGGGAGCAGUGGGUAAUAUUGGACUAUGGGCUAGAUCCUGAUCGAGCUAUGCCGCGUGAGUGAUGAAGGUCUGAGGGUAGUAAAGCUCUUUUACCCGGGAUGAUAAUGACAGUACCGGGAGAAUAAGCUCCGGCUAACUCCGUG